rnacentral:lncRNA from 1 species
UUUUUUUCUUCUAUUUUGUUGCGUCCACACUAUCAUAAUUCUGUUAUGAUUGUGUCUUUUGUGUUUCUUUUUGUGUUUGAGACAAGCAAAACCUUUAUGACUAGUCUUGGUGAGGGUUGUUUGAUCCUGCUGGAAAAUGCAGAAACUUUUCUCUCACGAGAUUAUUUUUCAUUUUUAUUCAGAAAUAGCUUUUGAGUUGAUUCUUUUUGCUGCUGGUUGAUAUGCCUUUUUCCCAGGCAGUCAUAAUGUUUCAGAAUUUUUGAGGUAACAGAAGUAUACGAAGUAUAUGGAUUGCUACAGGUUGGUCUGUUUUUGACAUAUUCUGUUUUUGUUGAGU